rfam:Pseudomonas brenneri strain RGCB 108 Contig002, whole genome shotgun sequence.
GGCGCAAGACUUGCAAACCAAACACUCCAGGUAACCAACGGCGGUUGCCCCUCCACGACAAAGACGUCGC